rnacentral:rRNA from 1 species
CUACGGUGGCUCCAGUGAGGAAUAUUGCACAAUGGGGGGAACCCUGAUGCAGCAACGCCGCGUGGAGGAUGACGCAUUUCGGUGUGUAAACUCCUUUUAUAUGUCAAGAAAAUGACGGUAGCAUAUGAAUAAGCACCGGCUAACUCCGUGCCGGCAGCCGCGGUAAUACGGAGGGUGCAAGCGUUACUCGGAAUCACUGGGCGUAAAGGACGCGUAGGCGGGUUGGAAAGUCAGGUGUGAAAUCCUACAGCUUAACUGUAGAACUGCACUUGAAACUUCUAAUCUAGAGUAUGGGAGGGGGAGAUGGAAUUAGUGGUGUAGGGGUAAAAUCCGUAGAUAUCACUAGGAAUACCUAAAGCGAAGGCGAUCUCCUGGAACAUUACUGACGCUAAGGCGUGAAAGCGUGGGGAGCAAACAGGAUUAGAUACCCGUGUAGUC